UAGCUUUUGAGAUGAUUAAUCACUUCAGCAGACUUGACAAAUGAUAUUGCAAUAAAAUCAACACCCUCUGAGAUACCAAAAUCGAUGUCUAUCCAAUCCUUAGAGGAUAUUGUGGGAAGCAUAGCAUUACGUUCUCGCACUAGACUCCCAUCCCUCCAGAAAGUCAAAUUAGCCCGUGGUAGUAACAGUCCAGGAUCAGUACAUCGACACUUGACAUCUGGACCAAUUUUCUCAAUUACCUCAAAUGUUACCAUCCCACCAUCCACAAUGAGUUCAUCCCCAACUUGCACAUCCUCAGCAAAGCCAUCAUAAUUCACGUUGAUGGUGCGUUCUGGACGAGGUGAGUCAAAGGCUCUGAC
rnacentral:misc_RNA from 1 species